rnacentral:rRNA from 1 species
GAUGAACGCUGGCGGCGUGCUUAACACAUGCAAGUCGAACGGAAAGGCUCCUGCUUGCAGGGGCACUCGAGUGGCGAACGGGUGAGUAACACGUGGGUGAUCUGCCCUGCACUUCGGGAUAAGCCUGGGAAACUGGGUCUAAUACCGGAUAGGACCAUCGUUUAGUGUCGGUGGUGGAAAGUUUUUUCGGUGUGGGAUGAGCUCGCGGCCUAUCAGCUGGUUGGUGGGGUAAUGGCCUACCAAGGCGUCGACGGGUAGCCGGCCUGAGAGGGUGUACGGCCACAUUGGGACUGAGAUACGGCCCAGACUCCUACGGGAGGCAGCAGUGGGGAAUAUUGCACAAUGGGCGCAAGCCUGAUGCAGCGACGCCGCGUGGGGGAUGACGGCCUUCGGGUUGUAAACUCCUUUCGCCAGGGACGAAGCGAAAGUGACGGUACCUGGAUAAGAAGCACCGGCUAACUACGUG